AUUAGGUAUUUCAUGAGGAAGCUGAAGAAGGUCAAGAAGAGCAAUGGUCAAGUGCUUUCCAUUAAUGAGUCAAUGUUUUUUUGCGGUGGAGAAGUGGUUCCUUCUCAACUCUCCUCCUGGUGAAAUCCAAUUUGUUGCCAAUGGUCUCCACCUUUGACCCCAAAGCGUCACUCUUUUAUCACAUUUAUUUCGCUUUUUUCUAAUUUUGUUUCGAUCAGUUGAAUCGUAAUUUGUAUUUGAUGUUUGCCUUUGGUGGCAGAUGUGAAGGAGGCUGCGUCAGAGGCAUCCUCUCGAAUAUUAUGAAAACCUAUCAGCAUAUCCACACCUUCUUUUACACCUUAUUUCUCUGCACAUUCCUCUCAAAAACUUAAAUGCUUUAUGCUCCACCAUAGCCUUUGGGAGGAAGAUCGAAAGAAAAAGAACUGGAGAAAUCAAUACAGGAACCCCCAGUCUGAUGUCAAUGGUAU